rnacentral:rRNA from 1 species
GCAAAACGCGAAGAACCUUACCUACUCUUGACAUCCAGAGAACUUAGCAGAGAUGCUUUGGUGCCUUCGGGAACUCUGAGACAGGUGCUGCAUGGCUGUCGUCAGCUCGUGUUGUGAAAUGUUGGGUUAAGUCCCGCAACGAGCGCAACCCUUAUCCUUUGUUGCCAGCGGUUCGGCCGGGAACUCAAAGGAGACUGCCAGUGAUAAACUGGAGGAAGGUGGGGAUGACGUCAAGUCAUCAUGGCCCUUACGAGUAGGGCUACACACGUGCUACAAUGGCGUAUACAAAGAGAAGCGACCUCGCGAGAGCAAGCGGACCUCAUAAAGUACGUCGUAGUCCGGAUUGGAGUCUGCAACUCGACUCCAUGAAGUCGGAAUCGCUAGUAAUCGUAGAUCAGAAUGCUACGGUGAAUACGUUCCCGGGUCUUGUACACACCG